rnacentral:rRNA from 1 species
UUGGAGGGCAAGUCUGGUGCCAGCAGCCGCGGUAAUUCCAGCUCCAAUAGCGUAUAUUAAAGUUGUUGCAGUUAAAAAGCUCGUAGUUGAAUUUCGGGAUCAGUACGUUGGUCGUGCCUUAGGUACGUACUGGUGUUACUGGUUCCUACCUUCUGACGAACCAUCAUGUCAUUCAUUUGGUGUGGCGGGGAAUCAGGACUGUUACUUUGAAAAAAUUAGAGUGUUUAAAGCAGGCUCGCGCUUGAAUACAUUAGCAUGGAAUAAUGAAAUAGGACGUUGAUCCUAUUUUGUUGGUUUCUAGGAUUGACGUAAUGAUUAACAGGGAUAGUUGGGGGCAUUAGUAUUCAAUUGUCAGAGGUGAAAUUCUUGGAUUUAUUGAAGACUAACUACUGCGAAAGCAUUUGCCAAGGAUGUUUUCAUUAAUCAAGAACGAAAGUUAGGGGAUCGAAGACGAUCAGAUACCGUCGUAGUCUUAACCAUAAACUAUGCCGACUAGGGAUCGGAUGAUGUUAAUUUUUUAAUGACUCAUUCGGCGCCUUACGGGAAAC